UACGUAGGGUGCGAGCGUUAUCCGGAUUUACUGGGUUUAAAGGGUGUGUAGGCGGGCUGGUAAGUCAGGGGUGAAAUCCCGGAGCUCAACUCCGGAACUGCCUUUGAUACUACUGGUCUUGAAUAUUGUUGAGGUAGGCGGAAUGUGUCAUGGUAGCGGUGAAAUGCAUAGAUAUGACACAGAACACCGAUUGCGAAGGCAGCUUACUGGGCAAUGAUUGACGCUGAGGCACGAAAGCGUGGGGAUCAAACAGG
rnacentral:rRNA from 1 species